UACGUAGGUGACCAGCGUUGUCCGGAUUUACUGGGCGUAAAGAGCGCGCAGGCGGUCGGUCAAGUCGCGUGUGAAAGCCCCCGGCUCAACUGGGGAGGGUCACUCGAUACUGAUCGACUUGAAGGCAGGAGAGGGAAGCGGAAUUCCCGGUGUAGUGGUGAAAUGCGUAGAUAUCGGGAGGAACACCAGUGGCGAAGGCGGCUUCCUGGCCUGUUCUUGACGCUGAGGCGCGAAAGCUAGGGGAGCAAACGGG
rnacentral:rRNA from 1 species